UGUGCUUUUAUGGGUUCAGGCAAAGCAGGAGUGGAUUGUGGUUGGUUUGGAUUUGCUUGAAAUUGAACUUCUUUUAGCAAACUAGAGAAUGCAGUAUUUUUGAGAACUGUUUAGCAUAUUUGAUUAGACUUCUAAAAUAAAGCCAGAUUGAUAUUCAACUUCAGUAAAAAUACCUGAAGAAUUUUUAACUGAUGCAAAGUUCUUUUGUCUUUAAGAGAUGACCUAAAACCUCAAGGAUUUUGACAAACCUCAAGAAAUAUGUCCUCUGAAACAGAAUUUCUACUUGCGAAGGAUCAUCAGAAUAGACAGAUGAUUAGAGCAUUGAGACCCAGUGACACUCCAAAUAAGGAGCAGCCAAGAGGGAAACUUCUGCUUGUUUCUGUCACAUAUAGAAUAAGUUCUUGAGAGCAAGAGACAAAGCACCCAGGAUAUUCUGCUGUUGGACCUAGCUGUGGACUCAGAGAGAGACCAAGUGCGUAGAUGAACUGAAACAGCAAUGACUGGAGUGCCAAAAUAUCUCAGGAGAGUUGAGCGGAUACCUGUCAGUUAAGCUGAUGGUGGAAGUACCGCCCACCACAGAUGAACUGGAGGAGACAGAGAGGAAUGGCAGGAAGAACGAGAGGAGCGCUGGCCCGAGGCAGUGGCUGCCAGUGUGAGCCCUGAGGUCCAAACAGGUCAGGUUUUUCUGGGUCAUAUCUCCUACAGUGUAACGCCUGAGCGAGUGUCAGUGGGGAACAGGGUAUUAACAUUGCAACUUCUUUAAGACUUCUGGUAAGCUCAGUAUCUUUUCUGUCUUGAUAGGCCUGCCAAGAUUUGUGUGCAUUGCCUAGCAGUGUGCUUAACAGUCAGAUUUUCCUUCAUCUACUCUAGAUUUUUCCUAAUAAAAGGUGAUGAAACUUUUGUGGUGUGCCAGCCCCCCUCACACAUUACUGAUUGACAGCACUGAGCUGGGCCUCCUACAGUAGCAACUGGGUUGGGCUCUAUUCCUUUCUCUAGCUUUUUAAUAUUUUUUCAUCAGUUUAACAAUCAGUUUAGUUAAAGGGCUGCAGAAGUUGUUUGCAGGUCAGUCCUUACACAGUCCAGGCACAUUGAAUACAGAGAAUAACUCCUGAUGCUCGCUGAUUUUAGUGAGAGAAGAAUCAAGCCUGUUGUUUAUCUAUCUUGGAAGAAAAAUGAAGAGGAGAAAUGUGCGUGUGAUGAGGAGAGGGAUAAUGAGGGGGAAGGACAAAACAACAGUUCAAGCAGCAUAUGUGCUGACCUCAAAUCAUUGAAUACAUCCUGUUCAUGUGGUAUAUGUAUGUGAUGAGGUUUGUGCUUGCAAAUUCUGUGACUACCUGUGCAUAUCAACUCAGUGUAAUCUUUUGUGCAGUUAAUAGCAGUAAAUGAUCAACUUAGAUUUUCCAGAUUGUCUGGAGGUUAAAUUUCUUUAAAUCCCUUUGGGUGGAGGUAAAGUGAGUGCAUAGCUUGGGCUGUGUGCUGUGACCUGUAACAGGAUCUUGCUGGAAUACACUAGCAUGGGUGGCCUUCAGGAAGGAAGGCAGAUGUUUAUUGAUAUGAGGGGAGUGUAAG